CAGCGCGGGGGCUUCGGUCUCUGGCGGCGAGUGGCGGACGGGUGAGUAAUAUAUGGGAACGCGCCCGGCGGCGGGGGAUAACUCUGGGAAACCAGAGCUAAUACCGCAUGCGUUUCGCCUUUCGGGGCGAAAGAAAGCGGGGGACUUCUUCGGAGGCCUCGCACCGGCGGAGCGGCCCAUAUCCGAUUAGCUUGUUGGCGGGGUAACAGCCCACCAAGGCCGCGAUCGGUAGCUGGUCUGAGAGGACGGACAGCCACACCGGGACUGAGACACGGCCCGGACUCCUACGGGAGGCAGCAGUGGGGAAUAUUGGACAAUGGGGGCAACCCUGAUCCAGCAAUGCCGCGUGUGUGAAGAAGGCCUUCGGGUUGUAAAGCACUUUCGCGGGGGAAGAAAAAGCGAGGGGUAAUAUCUCUCGCGCCUGACGGUACCCCGAGAAGAAGCACCGGCUAACUACGUGCCAGCAGCCGCGGUAAUACGUAGGGUGCGAGCGUUAAUCGGAAUUACUGGGCGUAAAGCGUGCGCAGGCGGCCUGUCAAGUCGGGUGUGAAAUCCCCGGGCUCAACCCGGGAAUUGCGCUUGAAACCGGCGGGCUAGAGUACGGCAGAGGAAGGUGGAAUUCCGUGUGUAGCGGUGAAAUGCGUAGAUAUACGGAAGAACACUCAUGGCGAAGGCAUCCUUCUGGGCCGUAACUGACGCUCAUG
rnacentral:rRNA from 1 species